rnacentral:rRNA from 1 species
ACGGGAGGCAGCAGUGGGGAAUAUUGGGCAAUGGGCGAAAGCCUGACCUAGCAACGCCGCGUGAAGGAAGAAGGCCUUCGGGUUGUAAACUUCUUUUACCAGGGACGAAGGACGUGACGGUACCUGGAGAAAAAGCCACGGCUAACUACGUGCCAGCAGCCGCGGUAAUACGUAGGUGGCAAUCGUUGUCCGGAUUUACUGGGUGUAAAGGGCGUGUAGGCGGAGCAGCAAGUCAGAAGUGAAAUCUCGGGGCUCAACCCCGAAACUGCUUUUGAAACUGUUGCCCUUGAGUAUCGGAGAGGCAGGCGGAAUUCCUAGUGUAGCGGUGAAAUGCGUAGAUAUUAGGAAGAACACCGGUGGCGAAGGCGGCCUGCUGGACGACAACUGACGCUGAGGCGCGAAAGCGUGGGGAGCAAACAGGAUUAGAUACCCUGGUA